GAUGAACGCUAGCGGCAGGCUUAAUACAUGCAAGUCGUGGGGCAGCAGGACUGUAGCAAUACAGUUGCUGGCGACCGGCAAACGGGUGCGGAACACGUACGCAACUUACCCUGAACUGGGGGAUAGCCCGGGGAAACCCGGAUUAAUACCCCGUAAUAUAAUGGAGUGGCAUCACUUUAUUAUUAAAGCUCCGGCGGUUCGGGAUGGGCGUGCGGCUGAUUAGGUAGUUGGUUGAGGUAACGGCUCACCAAGCCUACGAUCAGUAACUGGUGUGAGAGCACGACCCAUCAAACGGGGACUGAGAAACGGGCCCCACUCCUACGGGAGGCAAGAGUAAGGAAUAUUGGGGAAUGGAGGCCACUCUUACCCAGCCAUGCCGGGUGGAGGAAGAAGGCCCUCUGGGUUGUAAACUUCUUUUGUAGGGGACGAAACCUGUGUAUUCUUACGCAGUUGACGGUACCCUAGGAAUAAGCACCGGCUAACUCCGUG
rnacentral:rRNA from 1 species